rnacentral:rRNA from 1 species
AGGAUGAAGGGUUUGAUCCUGGCUCAGGGUAAACGCUGGCGGCGUGCGUAACACAUGCAAGUCGGACGGGUUAUACAUCUUCGGAUGUAUAAUCAGUGGCGAACGGGUGAGUAAAAGGUAGGGACCUACCCCGAGGACAGAGAUAGCUACUGGAAACGGUAGGUAAACUCUGAUAAGCCCGAGAGGGGAAAGUGGGAGUCAGCCUUGGGAUGGACCUACUAUCCAUCAGGUAGUUGGUGAGGUAAAGGCUUACCAAGCCGAUGACGGAUAACCGGUGUGAGAGCAUGGACGGUCACAAGGGCACUGAGACACGGGCCCUACUCCUACGGGAGGCAGCAGUGGGGAAUAUUGGACAAUGGGCGAAAGCCUGAUCCAGCGACGCCGCGUGAAGGAAGAAGUCCUUCGGGAUGUAAACUUCUGAACUAAUCGAAUAAGAGGGUAGUGGACACACUACAGAAGAAGGUAGAUUAGGAAAAGUCCCGGCUAACUACGUGCCAGCAGCCGCGGUAAGACGUAGGGGGCGAGCGUUGCCCGGAAUCACUGGGUGUAAAGGGGACGUAGGCGGAUGAUCAAGUCAUCUGUGAAAAGAUUGCUCAACGAUUGGCUUGCGGAUGAAACUGGUCAUCUUGGGCGUAGCAGAGGUAGACGGAAUUACCUGAGUAGGGGUGAAAUCCGCAGAUACAGGUAAGAAGGCCGGUGAAGAAGUUGGUCUACUGGGCUACAGCUGACGCUGAGGUCCGAAAGCCAGGGGAGCGAACCGGAUUAGAUACCCGGGUAGUCCUGGCUGUAAACGAUGCUCACUAGGUGUAGGGAGCGAAAGACUCUCUGUGCUGAAGCGAACGCGCUAAGUGAGCCACCUGGGGAGUACGUCCGCAAGGAUGAAACUCAAAGGAAUUGACGGGGGUCCGCACAAGCGGUGGAGCAUGUGGUUUAAUUCGAAGCUAACCGAAGAACCUUACCAGGGAUUGACAUGUAACUGAAGGUAGAGAAAUCUACUGGCCUGCCG